rnacentral:rRNA from 1 species
CAUGCAAGUCGAACGGAGCUGAGAGGAGCUUGCUUUUCUUAGCUUAGUGGCGAACGGGUGAGUAACGCGUGAGUAACCUGCCCUGGAGUGGGGGACAACAGUUGGAAACGACUGCUAAUACCGCAUAAGCCCACGAUCCGGCAUCGGAUUGAGGGAAAAGGAUUUAUUCGCUUCAGGAUGGACUCGCGUCCAAUUAGCUAGUUGGUGAGGUAACGGCCCACCAAGGCGACGAUUGGUAGCCGGACUGAGAGGUUGAACGGCCACAUUGGGACUGAGACACGGCCCAGACUCCUACGGGAGGCAGCAGUGGGGGAUAUUGCACAAUGGGGGAAACCCUGAUGCAGCGACGCCGCGUGGAGGAAGAAGGUUUUCGGAUUGUAAACUCCUGUCGUUAGGGACGAUAAUGACGGUACCUAACAAGAAAGCACCGGCUAACUACGUGCCAGCAGCCGCGGUAAAACGUAGGGUGCAAGCGUUGUCCGGAAUUACUGGGUGUAAAGGGAGCGCAGGCGGACCGGCAAGUUGGAAGUGAAAACUAUGGGCUCAACCCAUAAAUUGCUUUCAAAACUGCUGGCCUUGAGUAGUGCAGAGGUAGGUGGAAUUCCCGGUGUAGCGGUGGAAUGCGUAGAUAUCGGGAGGAACACCAGUGGCGAAGGCGACCUACUGGGCACCAACUGACGCUGAGGCUCGAAAGCAUGGGUAGCAAACAGGAUUAGAUACCCUGGUAGUCCAUGCCGUAAACGAUGAUUACUAGGUGUUGGAGGAUUGACCCCUUCAGUGCCGCAGUUAACACAAUAAGUAAUCCACCUGGGGAGUACGACCGCAAGGUUGAAACUCAAAGGAAUUGACGGGGGCCCGCACAAGCAGUG